GCGAAAGCAUUUGCCAAGAAUGUUUUCAUUAAUCAAGAACGAAAGUCAGAGGUGCGAAGGCGAUCAGAUACCGCCGUAGUUCUGACCGUAAACGAUGCCGACUGGCAAUUGGGCGCACUUCUGUCGAAGUUGCCGCCAGCAGUAUUGCCCGGGAAACCAAAGUCAUUGGGUUCCGGGGGGAGUAUGGUUGCAAAGCUGAAACUUAAAGGAAUUGACGGAAGGGCACCACCAGGAGUGGAGCCUGCGGCUUAAUUUGACUCAACACGGGAAACCUCACCCGGCCCGAACACUGUUAUGACAGACAGGUUGAGAGCUCUUUCUCGAUUCAGUGGUUGGUGGUGCAUGGCCGUUCUUAGUUCGUGGAGCGAUCUGUCUGGUUAAUUCCGAUAACGAACGAGACUCUUGCCUGCUAAAUAGACGGCGUCGACUCUGCGCGACGAUCGUUCGCUUCUUAGAGGGACAAGCGGCUUUUAGCCGCGUGAAGCCGAGAGCAAUAACAGGUCUGUGAUGCCCUCAGAUGUUCGGGGCCGCACGCGCGCUACACUGUUUGCAUCAGCGUGUUUCUCCCGCGCCGGCCGGCGCGGGCAACCCGUUGAACCGCAAACGUGCUAGGGAUCGGAGAUUGCAAUUGUUCUCCGUGAACGAGGAAUUGCAAUAACAGGUCUGUGAUGCCCUCAGAUGUUCGGGGCCGCACGCGCGCUACACUGUUUGCAUCAGCGUGUUUCUCCCGCGCCGGCCGGCGCGGGCAACCCGUUGAACCGCAAACGUGCUAGGGAUCGGAGAUUGCAAUUGUUCUCCGUGAACGAGGAAUUCCUUGUACUGGCGAGUCAUCAGCUCGCGGGGAAUCUGUCCCUGCCCUUUGUACACACCGCCCGUCGCUACUACCGAUUGAGUGGUUUAGUGAGGCUCACGGACUGCGAGCGGCACCCGGCGUCUUCGGGCGUCGAGUCGCGAGCGGAAAGUGAGACGAACUUGAUCACUUCUAGGAACUAAAAGUCGUAACAAGGUUUUCGUAGGUGAACCUGCGGAAGGCUC
rnacentral:rRNA from 1 species